AAUACUCCCUCUGUCCCAAUUUAUAUGACUUACUUUCCUUUUUAGUCAGUCCCAAAAAGAAUGACACAUUUCUAUUUUAAGUAACAAUUUGCCUAUAAAAUGUCUUUUUUGCCCUUAAUGAAAUGAUUUACAACCACACAAAUUUCUAUCAUUCAUUUUGAACCACAAGUUUUAAAAGUCUUUCCAUUUUUCUUAAAGUUUGUGCCAAAUCAAAGUACAUCAUAUAAAAUGGGACGGAGGGAGUA
rnacentral:lncRNA from 1 species